CAAAAUCAAUAGCCACCACACACCCAACACCCAAACCUACUGGCCCACCACCAAACAACGCUGGCUAAUAUUUUUAGGUUGGGGCGACCUUGGAGAAAAACAGACCCUCCAAAAUCAAGGCCACAACCCUUAACCAAGAGCCACCCCUCAACGUACCAACAGUGUUUAGACCCAAUAAAAUUGAUCAAUGGACCAAGCUACCCCAGGGAUAACAGCGCAAUCUCCCCCAAGAGCCCCUAUCGACGAGGAGGUUUACGACCUCGAUGUUGGAUCAGGACAUCCUAGUGGUGCAGCCGCUACUAAGGGCUCGUUGUCAACGAUAGACG
rnacentral:rRNA from 1 species